UACGGAGGGGACUAGCGUUGUUCGGAAUUACUGGGCGUAAAGCGCGCGUAGGCGGAUUUGCAAGUCGGGGGUGAAAUCCCGAGGCUCAACCUCGGAACUGCCUUCGAUACUGCAAAUCUCGAGUCCGGAAGAGGUGAGUGGAAUUCCUAGUGUAGAGGUGAAAUUCGUAGAUAUUAGGAAGAACACCAGUGGCGAAGGCGGCUCACUGGUCCGGUACUGACGCUGAGGCGCGAAAGCGUGGGUAGCAAACAGG
rnacentral:rRNA from 1 species